rnacentral:rRNA from 1 species
AUACGUAGAAGGCGAACGUUAUCCGGAUUCACUGGGCGUAAAGCGGGUGUAGACGGUUUUUUAAGUCAGUUGUGAAAUCUCCCAACUCAAUUGGGAGACUGCAACUGAUACUGGAGAGCUUGAGGGCAUCAGAAGAAAGCAGAAUUCACGGUGUAGCGGUGAAAUGCGUAGAUAUCGUGAGGAAUACCAGUGGCGCAAGCGGCUUUCUAGGAUGCUCCUGACGUUGAGGCCCGAAAGUGUGGGGAGCGAAACGGAUUAGAUACCCGUGUAGUCCACACCCUAAACGUUGAAUACUAGGUAUAGGGGGUAUCGGCCCUCUCUGUGCCGAAGCUAACGCUUUAAGUAUUCCGCCUGGGGACUACGGCCACAAGGCUAAA